UGCAUAUCAAUAAGCGGAGGAAAAGAAACCAACCGGGAUUGCCUCAGUAACGGCGAGUGAAGCGGCAAAAGCUCAAAUUUGAAAUCUGCGUAAGCCGAGUUGUAAUUUGAAGAUGGCUACUUUGGUAAUGGCUCUUGUCUAUGUUCCUUGGAACAGGACGUCACAGAGGGUGAGAAUCCCGUGCGAUGAGAUGUCCAUUACCGUGUAAAGUGCUUUCGAAGAGUCGAGUUGUUUGGGAAUGCAGCUCUAAGUGGGUGGUAAAUUCCAUCUAAAGCUAAAUAUUGGCGAGAGACCGAUAGCGAACAAGUACAGUGAUGGAAAGAUGAAAAGAACUUUGAAAAGAGAGUGAAAAAGUACGUGAAAUUGUUGAAAGGGAAGGGCUUGAGAUCAGACUUGGUAUUUUGUAUGGCUUGCUUUCGGGCGGGUCCUCUGCAGUUUACUGGGCCAGCAUCGGUUUGGGUGGCAGGAUAAUAGCGAAGGAAUGUGGCUCUACUUCGGUGGAGUGUUAUAGCCUUUGUUGAUACUGCCUGCCUAGACCGAGGACUGCGUC
rnacentral:rRNA from 1 species